AUGCCGUCGAACUCCCUCUUCCCUUUUGGCUGCACCUUCCCCGUGAGCUCUUCUUCCAUUCCCUUGCUUUGCCUCUCCUCCUCCUCACUCUCCCUUCCAUGCUCCUCAUCUUUCUUUCGAUUUGGUUGUGCCUGUAGGUCCAUGAACAUUGUUAGAAUGGUUAAUUUAUUCCAGUGUAUUAUUUUCAGAGAUCAUGUUUGUUUAAGCCUCCAAGGUAAUUCUCAAGAAUUUGUGUUUUUUACUUGCUUGGCUACUGUGUCAAAGUGCAUAUGCUCAAGUUUGGUCACUUUUGAUGGUUUUUUCAGUAUGCUAUAA
rnacentral:rRNA from 1 species